ACAAAGAAAUUAUCAUGAAACCUCAUAACAGAAUGACGUUAAACGAACAUUUCAUUACUAGCAGAGAAAAACUAGGUCAUUUGCUAACUAAAACCCAAAUAUAAAUGGGCAGCAUCACAUAUUUUUAACUUUAUCAUUCCCAAGAUUAUCUGCAGCAAUAUUACUGGAUGAAAACACCAAAAUUUAUAAAAAAAGAAAAAAAGUUCUACUGGAUUUAAAAGAAAAGAUGUGAAAAACUAUAGAUUGGCACUGCAACUAGUGACUGCAUUUUUUUCCCUUUUCUUUUGAGAAACUAGGAAAAAAGUUUUAAAAAGUCUUAUUUGCCAAAAUUUCAAAAGUGCGAUUCAGUUAUGAGACAAUCUUUUAAAAGUUUAUUGCCAAACACAGCACAUAACAAUAGACAUCAGAAACUACAAGGAGCCUUGUGAUUCAUCAUGUCAUGUACCCAGACAUAAUCCAACAAAACAGGAUGCGAAGUUCUCAAAUUAAAAUAAAAAAUUAACAGCCUAAUGCGUUCCAUAAAAAUAUUCGUACCACUAAAUCAUGCAAUUAGGGAUAUGCAAAUGCAAAAUGAUA
rnacentral:misc_RNA from 1 species